AGUAUUGAAAUCACAAUGGAUUGUAGUGUGUUUGGUCAUGAGAAAAACACCAAAGUGUUAAUCUUCCUUGAUAACAUUCGACACAUGUGUGAGUUGGAGGCACUCGAGGCAUGUUGUAUAUGUGUCUACAUAUGGCGCUUAUAUAAGCAAUGCAAGAAGACAAGCCUUCUUAAAAAAUUCAAAUUUGUUGAUCUGUAUAGCAUGUCACACAAUCCGAAGGUUGAUUCAGCAAAAAAGACAAGAAUUUUGGGGAGUAAGAUGUGUGGUACAUUGACUAAUCAAUUUCUUUUGAUGCCGUGCAACGUGGGUUGGCAUUGGAUCCUUCUUGUUAUUGACCCGCAUAAUGAUACUACAUACGUGUUGGAUCCAUUGAAGGAAGAUCGUCAUUUUACGGAGAUAAAGAUCGUCACAGAAACGUAAGUUCUAUCAUUUUAAAUAUAUCAUUUAUGUAUUUUAGUUUAGAUUUAUAUUUUAAUAUGCGUAGAGCUAUAAAAAUGUUCAAUAAGAACAUAGGAAAAAGAGGAAGACAAAGUCAUGUGUGGGAAGUGAUAAAGUGUCAUCAACAACCUCACGGGUCAUUACAAUGUGGAUUCUAUGUAAUGCGUUACAUGAAAGACAUUAUUGAAAAUUAUGGAUGUGACCGCCCCAAACCAAUAUCUUCAUUGUUUGCUGAAGGAUUUUACUCUGAAGAAAAAAACAAUGAAGUUCGGGAAGAGUGUGCUAAGUGUGUAUAUCGUUUUGUUGAUAAGAAUGAUGAUGAAGAUUCAAGCUAGUUGGAUGAUUGAUUUGUUGGACGAUUGCUGGUGAAUGAAGGCAUAAUUAGUUGGAGAUUUUAUUAGAAUUUUUUUAGUAGAUAAAUAUAGGCGUAACUAGAGACGAUACAAUUGGGGAUGUAAAUAUUUGAUU